rnacentral:rRNA from 1 species
UACGUAUGGUGCAAGCGUUAUCCGGACUUACUGGGUGUAAAGGGAGCGUAGGCGGCGCGUUAAGUCUGAUGUGAAAACCCGAGGCUCAACCACGGGAGUGCAUUGGAAACUGGCGAGCUGGAGUGCCGGAGAGGUAAGCGGUAUUCCUAGUGUAGCGGUGAAAUGCGUAGAUAUUAGGAGGAACACCAGUGGCGAAGGCGGCUUACUGGACGGCAACUGACGCUGAGGCUCGAAAGCGUGGGGAGCAAACAGG